rnacentral:rRNA from 1 species
ACGCUUCUUUUCUACCGAGUGCUUGCACUCAUUUGAAAAGAGGAGUGGCGGACGGGUGAGUAACACGUGGGUAACCUGCCCAUCAGAGGGGGAUAACACUUGGAAACAGGUGCUAAUACCGCAUAAUAGUCGACACCGCAUGGUGUUGAUUUGAAAGACGCUUUCGGGUGUCACUGAUGGAUGGACCCGCGGUGCAUUAGCUAGUUGGUGAGGUAACGGCUCACCAAGGCGAUGAUGCAUAGCCGACCUGAGAGGGUGAUCGGCCACACUGGGACUGAGACGCGGCCCAGACUCCUACGGGAGGCAGCAGUAGGGAAUCUUCGGCAAUGGACGAAAGUCUGACCGAGCAACGCCGCGUGAGUGAAGAAGGUUUUCGGAUCGUAAAACUCUGUUGUUAGAGAAGAACAAGUAGGAGAGUAACUGCUCUUACCUUGACGGUAUCUAACCAGAAAGCCACGGCUAACUACGUGCCAGCAGCCGCGGUAAUACGUAGGUGGCAAGCGUUGUCCGGAUUUAUUGGGCGUAAAGCGAGCGCAGGCGGUUUCUUAAGUCUGAUGUGAAAGCCCCCGGCUCAACCGGGGAGGGUCAUUGGAAACUGGGAGACUUGAGUGCAGAAGAGGAGAGUGGAAUUCCAUGUGUAGCGGUGAAAUGCGUAGAUAUAUGGAGGAACACCAGUGGCGAAAGCGACUCUCUGGUCUGUAACUGACGCUGAGGCUCGAAAGCGUGGGGAGCAAACAGGAUUAGAUACCCUGGUAGUCCACGCCGUAAACGAUGAGUGCUAAGUGUUGGAGGGUUUCCCGCUCCUUCAGUGCUGCAGCAAACGCAUAAGCAACUCCGCCUGGGGAGUACGACCGC